AGUGAACGCUGGCGGUAGGCCUAACACAUGCAAGUCGAACGGCAGCACAGUAAGAGCUUGCUCUUACGGGUGGCGAGUGGCGGACGGGUGAGGAAUACAUCGGCAUCUACUUUUUCGUGGGGGACAACGUAGGGAAACUUACGCUAAUACCGCAUACGACCUACGGGUGAAAGCAGGGGAUCUCCGGACCUUGCGCGAUUGAAUGAGCCGAUGUCGGAUUAGCUAGUUGGCGGGGUAAAGGCCCACCAAGGCGACGAUCCGUAGCUGGUCUGAGAGGAUGAUCAGCCACACUGGAACUGAGACACGGUCCAGACUCCUACGGGAGGCAGCAGUGGGGAAUAUUGGACAAUGGGCGCAAGCCUGAUCCAGCCAUACCGCGUGGGUGAAGAAGGUCUUCGGGUUGUAAAGCCCUUUUGUUGGGAAAGAAAAGCAGCAGGUUAAUACCCCGCUGUUCUGACGGUACCCAAAGAAUAAGCACCGGCUAACUUCGUG
rnacentral:rRNA from 1 species